rnacentral:rRNA from 1 species
UACGAAGGGUGCAAACGUUGCUCGGAAUUAUUGGGCGUAAAGCGCACGUAGGCGGCUCUUUAAGUCGGGGGUGAAAUCCUGGAGCUCAACUCCAGAACUGCCUUCGAUACUGGAGAGCUCGAGUCCGGGAGAGGUGAGUGGAACUGCGAGUGUAGAGGUGAAAUUCGUAGAUAUUCGGAAGAACACCAGUGGCGAAGGCGACUCACUGGACACGUAUUGACGCUGAGGUGCGAAAGCGUGGGGAGCAAACAGG